rnacentral:rRNA from 1 species
UACAGAGGGGGCAAGCGUUGUUCGGAAUUACUGGGCGUAAAGGGCGCGUAGGCGGCCUGUUAAGUCGAACGUGAAAUCCCCGGGCUCAACCCGGGAACUGCGUCCGAUACUGGCAGGCUUGAAUCCGGGAGAGGGGUGCGGAAUUCCAGGUGUAGCGGUGAAAUGCGUAGAUAUCUGGAGGAACACCGGUGGCGAAGGCGGCAUCCUGGACAGGUAUUGACGCUGAGGCGCGAAAGCCAGGGGAGCAAACGGG